UCACGAUUCCUAUGUACGAUUACAUCGUUUUGAUGUAAAAUCUUUUGUUCUUAUGUGUAUUGUGCGUUGCAAGAAAAACACAAUUAUGGCGACUACUUUCAAAGGCCUUCAAUGAUGGACAAAAUUUAAUCGCAGUGCAAAUGCCACGUGCAGUCGCAGCAGUCAUCAUAUCACCCGGCCAUGUGGCUACCCGCAUAGAUAAAUACAAUUUGUAUUACACUCCACACAGUAAGUCCCCUUCAUCUGUUACUGUUACUAUACCACGAACAGGUGCAUUUCUGUUGAAACUAUGAAACUCGAAACAUUCAAUCAUAAAGAACGGUCUAUGUAACCCAUACCAAGUUGUAACAAUAUGUCAUAUUGUGCAGAAAUUGUCAAAUAAUAUAGGGAUGACAGCUCAGGAAAUAUGGUGGCAAUAUAGAAAGACCUUUUCUCAAACGGUUUGCGAUUAUUUUUUCGCAACACACUUACACAAGUGUAUUUCACUAUAUGCCACUUAAAUUCAACAGUUUGCCAAAUAGUUGCGCACAUUGGUGUAUGUACCGAUCGAACUUUUGCAGUUUGCAGAAAAAAAACUUGAAAACUUGUCUCGGCAAAUAAACGGUGCAAAGCAACUAGAGGGAGCAAAAAGUAGGAGCAGGAAAGUGACCGGCAACCACCGCGAAAAGCUCGGCACCACCGCACCGAAAGUAAGCGGAAAGGCCAUCAAGAAGUCGUUCGCCGGCAAGGCUCAGAAGAACACCGUGAAGGAUGAAAAGAAGAAGGAAAGCUGCGCUACAAGGUGCUGAAACAAGUCCAUCCGGACACCGGUGUCUCGUCGAAGGUUAUGAGCAUCAUGAACAGCUUCGUCAACGACGUCUACGAACGCAUCGCCGCCGAAGCCUCCCCUCUGGCGCACUACAACAAGCGGUCGACGGUCACCUCCCGGGAAAUUCAAACCGCCGCGCCGUCCGGUUGCUGCUCCCCGGAGAGUUGGCUAAGCAUGCUGUUUCCGAAGGUACCAAGGCCGUCACUAAAUACACAAACGACUACAAAUCCGCUCCCACCGGAGCAAGGACGACAGUAGGUUUUCAUCGCCGUAGGUGCCACUGGUACCACAAUGGGACGCGCCACGAAUCGGAAAAGUUCAGCAGUCAUCACUGCCCAUCCUAUCAAAAAGACCCGAGAUGCUCCUCUUUCAAUGAAGGAUGCGCUGCACGCAAUGAUGCGUGGAGGUCUUUGGACAAAUGUAAAUCCUCUUGUGAGUGGAGGUGAUGAUUAUUAUUUAAUGAAUAAAAAGAUCUUGAACGCAUAACCGCAA